rnacentral:rRNA from 1 species
UGGGGAAUAUUGCACAAUGGGCGCAAGCCUGAUGCAGCCAUGCCGCGUGUAUGAAGAAGGCCUUCGGGUUGUAAAGUACUUUCAGCGAGGAGGAAGGCGUUGUGGUUAAUAACCGCAGCGAUUGACGUUACUCGCAGAAGAAGCACCGGCAAACUCCGUGCCAGCAGCCGCGGUAAUACGGAGGGUGCAAGCGUUAAUCGGAAUUACUGGGCGUAAAGCGCACGCAGGCGGUCUGUCAAGUCGGAUGUGAAAUCCCCGGGCUCAACCUGGGAACUGCAUCCGAAACUGGCAGGCUAGAGUCUUGUAGAGGGGGGUAGAAUUCCAGGUGUAGCGGUGAAAUGCGUAGAGAUCUGGAGGAAUACCGGUGGCGAAGGCGGCCCCCUGGACAAAGACUGACGCUCAGGUGCGAAAGCGUGGGGAGCAAACA